rnacentral:misc_RNA from 1 species
GCAUUGCAGGAAGUACACAGUACGGAGUAGAGACAGCAAGAACGAUGGUGGAUGUGAAGAUGGCAAAAGUUCAUCAAGUUUUAGAGAUCAUAUUUGGCUCAACUAUGAUUUCACUGCUGAUUCUCAUGGCCAUUGGAUCAAUCAAAGUUAAAGCACAGGCAGGGCAUCUUCCUCCUGAGGAAGUGCAAGCUCUGCAAGAAGUGGCAACCCAAUUGGGCAAAAAAGAUUGGAACUUUAAAGUAGAUCCUUGCAGUAAUGACACAAGUUGGAAGACACCACUAUCCAAGGAUAGGCCUUACUAUGCCAAUAUUGUAACUUGCAAUUGUUCUUAUAUUGGGGGUGAAUGUCAUGUUGAAAGCAUAUUACUCAAAGCGCAAGAUCUUGCUGGUGUGCUGCCCCGUGCCAUUAUGAAACUACCUUUUCUCAAGAAACUUGAUCUUACUCGGAAUUACCUCAGUGGUAACAUACCAAGUGAAUGGGCUUCUACAAAGUUGGAAUUUCUGUCUGUUUCCAUUAACCGCUUAAUGGGAAAAAUCCCAAGCUAUCUAGGAAAUAUUACCACGCUUAGAGCCUUGGGCAUUGAGAACAAUAUGUUUUCAGGAACUGUUCCCCCUCAGCUUGGAAACUUGGUUAACUUGGAGAUUCUCUAUCUUGGUGCAAACAAUCUGACUGGAAAUUUACCCCUGGCUCUUAGUAAUUUGACCAAACUAACAGAGCUUAGGAUAAGCAGCAACAACUUCAUUGGAAAAAUACCCAGUUUUAUUCAAAGCUGGAAAAAUCUUCAGAAAUUAGAGAUUCAAGCUAGUGGUUUUGAAGGGCCUAUUCCUUCUAGCAUUUCUACUUUGAACAAUUUAACUGAACUAAGGAUUAGCGACUUACAUGGAGAAGGUUCAGAGUUUCCACACUUAGAGAACAUGACAGGGAUUGAGUCAUUGUAAGUCAUUAUUAACAUUGAUGGAUGCUUUAAAAUCAGAAUAUUUCUGCUGCACUAGAUGAGUUUAUGUGAAGAUAAUUAUAUUGCAGGAUGCUGAGGAAUUGCAAUAUAUCUGGUUCUAUCCCACUAUAUAUAGCAGCAAGGCCAUCACUGAAAAAAUUAGAUCUCAGUUUCAACAGAUUGGGAGGAAAUCUUUCAAGAGAUCUAGAAGGUCUACUAAAAUUGGAGAACAUGUAUUUGACAAGUAACUUGCUCUCUGGACCCAUCCCAGACUGGCUCAAGAAUGGAGAUACUCGUGCUGAAAUAGACCUUUCUCGCAAUAAUUUUACAGAAAGCUCAUUGCCAACUACUUGUCGAGAUACGUUGAAUUUGUUUAAAAGCACUUCUGGAGGGAAUAACUCGUAAGAUUUUUUUUUACUGAACUUCUGAAGGUAAAAUUAGUUCACUUUUAUCUUUUUGCCUUUUAAUAUAAGCAGUAAUUCUCUGAUACUAUUUCCAGAAAAGCUGUUGUCGAGUGCCUGAAAAACUUUGCUUGUUCAGAAGACAGAUAUUCAUUGCAUAUAAAUUGUGGUGGAGGUGCAACCAACAUUGGAGACAUCAGCUACGUAGCAGAUGAAGAGUCAGGAGCUGCAGCAAAAUAUGUUCCCACUAGGGAGAGUUGGGAAAUUAGUAAUACAGGACAUUUCUGGGAUAAAAAUAGAUCUGCAAGUGACUAUAUAGCACAAAAUUUUUCCAUCCUUAGGAUGAAGAAUUCUGAAUUGUACACAAGAGCACGUCU